CGUGUAGGCGGCUGGAUAAGUCAGAUGUGAAAGUCCUGGGCUUAACCCAGGAAGUGCAUUUGAAACUGUUCAGCUUGAGUAAGGGAGAGGAAAGUGGAAUUCCUGGUGUAGAGGUGAAAUUCGUAGAUAUCAGGAGGAACACCGGUGGCGAAGGCGACUUUCUGGCCCUAUACUGACGCUGAGACGCGAGAGCGUGGGUAGCAAACA
rnacentral:rRNA from 1 species